GGCAUGUGGAGUGAUUUGGACAAGAACAGAUUUUCUUGAUAAGGAAUGUUUUGAAAUCCAAUUUUAAAAUCUUUCUUUUAUCAAAACCAAAUCAGAUUUGGAUGUGAUAAAGGAAGGGAGAAGACUUCUUUGGCAUGAAAAAAUCUCACACAAAAAUUUCUUGAGCGUGGAGAAAGUUGGCAUCAAAGUGGGAGGCGCA
rnacentral:lncRNA from 1 species